rnacentral:rRNA from 1 species
CCUACGGGAGGCAGCAGUGGGGAAUAUUGGACAAUGGGGGCAACCCUGAUCCAGCCAUGCCGCGUGAGUGAUGACGGCCUUAGGGUUGUAAAGCUCUUUUCUCCGGGACGAUAAUGACGGUACCGGAGGAAUAAGCCCCGGCUAACUUCGUGCCAGCAGCCGCGGUAAU